GUGAGCAUAGUUUAAACAAAUUCUAGUAUGUGACCCUAGAGAUGGGGGCUAAUUACCCUCUGCCCACC
rnacentral:tRNA from 1 species